GGAGUAAAAGGUUAAGGGGAAAAAGACACAACAGGGGAAAUUCUGAUUAGAUAUUAAGUUUUUUUUUGACUGUGACACUUGACAGAUAUUGUACCAGAUUUCCCACAGACUUCUAAUAUAUUUGUCCUUGGAGAUAUUCUUGACUGUAAUGAAAAAUUCCCUUAUUUCUCUAAACUGGCUCAUGUUUGAGCACUAUGUGGAUCAGUUGAUACCCUGAGGACCAUUGGAACCUGCAUCAUUCUAUGGAUGGGUAAGAGUCAGAGGAAUGCAUAUGCAAAGUGGUGAAAAUCAAGAUUAGUGGGACAAAUUCUCUAGCAAGUUUUGAUCUUUGGUCUUUCAUUGCACAGAAUAAAUUGCUUAAAAGAAAAUUUCAGCAAAACAACAAUACCAAUUGAAAUUCCCUCCAGUGACAUACAAUUGAUUGCUGCUGAAAAAAAAGUAUUAUAGGUCCUGUCGACCCUAUUUUUUAAAAAGGCUGUAAAGUAAUAUAGAACUGAAGAACUACACAUUCUGCAAACUCUCCUCAGAACCAUCGUCCCUGUGUGAACUGUUGCAUACAGAUGCCAUUCCUGGAAAAGGAAGGUAAGGAAUUUACUGGACAGAAUUAAAAGGACCAAAGAUAACAUUUAAAAGUUAUGGGCUUUGCUUCUCAUACUUGAGGAGCUGAGUGAAUGAGAUGAGUCCACUGGUGUGAGUGGAGGAGGCACAUUCCAGGGUCAGGCCUUUGGUGAUGACAGUUUCUGUGCUUUCAUGAAGCAUCAGCUGUGAUUGUUGGAAUCUUUAACAAGGAUCUUUAUUCACUUCACAAGGUGUUGUGGUCUUUAGCCUGUCCUUGAAUUCACCUGAUUCUGCAGACAGAUCUGAAUUGGAUGUUGCAAACUUGGAACUUGGAAAUGGUCCCUGGAUUCCUGCAGUCAUGAAGAUUUUAUUUCUCCUACAGAAGGCAGGCUUAAAAUUUUAUAAAUGUAUAGAUUUUAUAUAUUUAUAAAUGCACAUUAAGGAGGCAGAUUAAACUUCGGCUGAUUUAUUAUUGUGAG
rnacentral:lncRNA from 1 species